UGGAUCCAGACUUUGAUUAUGGCUCAGGAUGAACGCUAGCUACAGGCUUAACACAUGCAAGUCGAGGGGAAACGAUAUUGGAAGCUUGCUUCCGAUAGGCGUCGACCGGCGCACGGGUGAGUAACGCGUAUCCAACCUGCCCACCACUUGGGGAUAACCUUGCGAAAGUAAGACUAAUACCCAAUGAUAUCUCUAGAAGACAUCUGAAAGAGAUUAAAGAUUUAUCGAUGAUGGAUGGGGAUGCGUCUGAUUAGCUUGUUGGCGGGGUAACGGCCCACCAAGGCAACGAUCAGUAGGGGUUCUGAGAGGAAGGUCCCCCACAUUGGAACUGAGACACGGUCCAAACUCCUACGGGAGGCAGCAGUGAGGAAUAUUGGUCAAUGGACGAGAGUCUGAACCAGCCAAGUAGCGUGCAGGAAGACGGCCCUAUGGGUUGUAAACUGCUUUUAUAAGGGAAUAAAGUUAGUCUCGUGAGACUUUUUGCAUGUACCUUAUGAAUAAGGACCGGCUAAUUCCGUGCCAGCAGCCGCGGUAAUACGGAAGGUCCGGGCGUUAUCCGGAUUUAUUGGGUUUAAAGGGAGCGUAGGCCGGAGAUUAAGCGUGUUGUGAAAUGUAGACGCUCAACGUCUGCACUGCAGCGCGAACUGGUUUCCUUGAGUACGCACAAAGUGGGCGGAAUUCGUGGUGUAGCGGUGAAAUGCUUAGAUAUCACGAAGAACUCCGAUUGCGAAGGCAGCUCACUGGAGCGCAACUGACGCUGAAGCUCGAAAGUGCGGGUAUCGAACAGGAUUAGAUACCCUGGUAGUCCGCACGGUAAACGAUGGAUGCCCGCUGUUGGUCUGAAUAGGUCAGCGGCCAAGCGAAAGCAUUAAGCAUCCCACCUGGGGAGUACGCCGGCAACGGUGCAACUCAAAUGAAUUGACGA
rnacentral:rRNA from 2 species